CAGAACUCUCCUGUGCAACUUCCUCCAGUUAACAGCCAGCCACCCUGAUUGCAUCGCCUCUUACUUGCAUCUCCUUUGUACCACUGUAUCACAGGUGUGUCUUGCACACAUCUCCUGCCUCUGCAAUUGGACUGUAAGCUCUCGAAGUUAUGAAGACAGACUGGCUAAGCAAAGAUGAGACCAGUGACUGGGCGGCCGUACAUUCGUCCAACCUCCACCAGCUGAUGGUAUGCAUAGGAUCCACGCCAGGGCUGCCCACUGAUUCCAUUUCCAUGGGAGAUAGGACAAUAUAUAUUCCAAAAGAAAAAGGUGCUUUGUUAUCUUGAAAGGGGUUUCCCUAACUGCUCAGAGAUGGACCUCUGUAUCUGAAACACGGCCCAGCUCACCCUGAAGUUUGCUCCCUCCCAAUGAGACGUCUGCACCUACCACCUCACAGGAGUCUCAAUCCAGGAGAGUGAUGGCACAUACGAAAGCUUGCGGUUGCUUUUCAUUGCCCUGGAAAUCAGCCUGAAGCACCAACAGUAGAUGGUUGAAAGUCUGAUAGAGGGCCAAAGACUUGAAUAGCUAAAAAAUGGCGUUCUGCAGAAAAGAAUGAGACAUCAGAGUGGGGAGAGCAGAUGCUGAGAGGAAGACAGGGACGAGCAGAUGUUCCUAAAGCGGCGGAGGACAGAAGACACCUAAGAUAACAACAGGGCUGCAGGUGGUCGUGACCAACAUGCUGGAGGACAGGAGGCAGUGGGGUCUGCGGGAGGAUCCCCGGCAGUGCAGACCCCACCCUCACACCCUCCUUUGUCGGCAGACAGAUGGUUGGGUCUGAGUGCACAAGACCAAUUGUCCUGGGCCAAAUAUACCCAAGACCCUCGAAUUGCAGUAGGUUCUCAGGCCCCACUUGAAAAGAAGAUUAAGGAAGUCUGAGGCCGGCUCCACCUGGGAGGGGGCACGCGGAAGCAGAGCAGGGGAGCGCAGAGGCGGCGAGGAACGCAGUGAAGAGAC